rnacentral:rRNA from 1 species
GACGAACGCUGGCGGCGUGCUUAACACAUGCAAGUCGAGCGGAAAAGCCCUGCUUUUGUGUGGUGCUCGAGUGGCGAGCGGGUGAGUAACACAUGAGUAAGCUGCCCUUGACUGGGUGAUAACUUCAGGAGACUGCGGCUAAUACAGGCGAGGAGCUCCUGCUGCAGGGGGGGGGUUGGAAAGUUUGGGCGGUUGUGGAUAGACUCGGGGCUUAUCAGCUUGUUGGUGGAGUAGUUGCUUAGCAAGGCUUUGACGGGUAGCCCGCCUGGGAGGGUGGACGGCCUCCUGGGGACUGAGAUACGGCCCAGACUGCUACGGGAGGCAGCAGUGGGGAAUCUUGCACAAUGGGGGGAAGUGUGAGGAAGCGGUGCCGCGAGCGGAAUGACGGCCUGCGGGUUGUAAACCGCAUUCGCCUGUGACGAAGCGGGAUUGACGGUACUGGGUGAAGAAGCACCGGCUAACUACGUG